UUUCUGCGCCUCACUCCAGCUGAAGAAGAAGGCAUCUUAUAACGGCUAUACUCUAAAAUCAUUUACUCAAAAGGUAUCACUGAAAUCAACAGCUCUAUAUGUAAUUGUGUUUGCAAGAUUUAGAUUGCCUUAAUUUUGAAUUGUUAAAUUGCAACUGGAUUUACUCCUAUCAGAUCAGAUGUGAUUCAUUAGAAGUUGAUGUUCGAUGCUGUUGAAAUGGAUUUUUCAUAUUAUUCGUUGUUAGAUUAUUCUGUGCAGUUGUUUGGUUAUGGUUAUGGUUUGGUUUGGCUCUGGUUUUACAAUAGCUGGUUUCUUAGUUAUCAGAACCCAUACACUAAAGAAUACAAAAGUAAAUUGGCUCCUUAAUCUGGGUUUAUUAGCCAGCGAUGGACUUUUAAAACUUACCCUAGCAGUUGGAUCCAGGUGCAUGUUUAAUUUGAUGUUUGUUAACUACUGCGAAGGUUAUCGCAGCAAUCGGGCAAUUCUGCAUAUGUGCAGUUGUUGCUGGGAGUAUACUAGAGAUCAUUGUAGUUUAUGCAAUUCAGUAAUUCUCCAACUCAAGGUCAUUUUUAGAGUACACCGUCUCCUCCAUAUAAUUAGGGGUCGGAAUUGACAAUCUUCUGGUUCUUUCUGGUUGGAGGGAUUCCCAUAUGCUCUUGGUGACAAUGGCAAUUGGCUCCCUUCUGGUUCUUUCUGAUUGGAGGGAUUCCCAUAUGUUCCCAGUGACAAUGGCAAUUGGCUCCCUUCUGGUUCUUUCUGAUUGGAGGGAUUCCCAUAUGCUCCCAGUGACAAUGGCAAUUGGUUCCCAUCGCUUGACUCAGCAGGCUGGUUAUUAAUUUGAUAGAUUUUGUUGGUGUUAAUUGUGCUAUUGGGACGUUUUUUCCAAAGAGUCACCAAGAGAAUUACGGUGAUUGAGGAAUUGGCUGGAGUAGAUGUAUUUAGCAAGGACCUUCUACAACCUACUGAUUUAUCAUUCUCCCUGUUGAGUUCCCAGUGCUGAUUCUCCUAGUAUGCUAAAGCUAAACGUCUUAAGAUGUUCGAAAGGAAUCCAUGCAAGGCAGGAUCGCUAUUUUGAUCUGUGAUAAAUUGUGGUGAUAGAAUUGAUAGUGCAUUGAAAGACGUGGCUGGUACUCCCCAUGCCAGGGGUUAUCCUUAAAAGUUGUUUGGCUAUGGUUUUAUGUUAGAACCAUCUACUAAAGAAUACAAAAUAAAUGCUCUGCCUAACCUGGAAUUGAAAAACAAAGAUAAACAGCUUACACUUACCCAAGCUGGAUGCAUGUGCAUUUUGAAUUGGUACUUUUCUCUCCAUGAGUUCGUGCUGAAAAGCUUUUUGGAGCUUGGAUUGAAUGUAUGUUCGAAGAUCAGCUUCUAAUGGUUGGUUGUGCAUAAAGCUCUCAAUUGCUUUCCUUGGCUGAACCUAAGGAGAAUGCUGUUGGCCUUGCUGGUUGUGGUCAUAUAACUGAAGCUUAUUUUGGUCAGGUUGGAGGUGGUAGUUAUGCUGGUGAGGUUGAAGGUUCAGGGUGAUUCUUCUACAACCUACUGCUUUAUCAUUCUCCCUGUGUAGAGUUCCUAGUGGUGAUUCUCCUUAUGCUAAAAGCUAAAUCCGUUCAGAUGUUAGCUAGGUGUGUUUUGUUCUGUAAAUUGUGGUGACAGAGUUGAUAGUGCAGCGAAAGACAUGGCUGGUACUCUCCAAGGAUUUAAGCUGCAAGUUGAAACAAUGAAAAGUUAAGACAAAAUGUAAAAAACAAGAAGCAGAAGGUUGUAUUCGCUACUAGAUCAGAAUGCAUGUGGGUUUGUGAUAAUGGAAGCUUUCUGAGAAGAUCAAAGUUGACUAUUUAUAAUGGGGAGAAACUGUUUCAGGAAUGCGCUACAUUAUGCACUUUUGUAAAUUAAUUCAGUCACACACCAUCUUCUCCAUUGAUUCAGUUUCAGUUAGUUUGUCUUCCCAGAGCGAUGGCAUUAUGUUUGUGAAGGAUGUUAGCUUGUGUCUUCUUAAAGAUAAGCUUUUGGGUGAUCAAGAUUCAUUUCCUGGUAAUUGGAAGCACUUGGGCUUAAUCAAGAAUUAGCUUUACUCUUUGGCAAAAGCAUGUUAAGUUGCUCGGUACAACAGUCAACAUCUGCAGAACAGACAACCAUUUCCGUCGAAGAAGCUUGAUUUUAGUUUCUCACUGGAAAUUUGAAAGCUUCACUCAAUCAUUUGGGGUUAUUUAUUUCCUACACUGACUGGUGGCUCAAGUUUUGAAUGGCACAAAGGCCUCGGGAUACUGGCUUUCAACAUCAAAGCUCUCAUCUCUUCUGGAGACAGUUCUCCUCCCUGAGAGUACUCUUUUCGGGUCAUGGGUAUUCAGUUUCCUCCCUGUGUUACAUCAUUUCUUGCAGUUGGCUUUGUGUUCAUCCAACUUGUGUUGAAAAAACAAAUGCUGAAUUCAAAUGAACUUUGAGAUUGGACAAGAUUUGAUUUCAAUUGCAUUACUUGAACAUUUCUAUUUGA